rnacentral:rRNA from 1 species
AUGAACGCUAGCGGCAGGCUUAACACAUGCAAGUCGAGGGGUAACAGGUCUUCGGACGCUGACGACCGGCAAACGGGUGCGGAACACGUACGCAACAUACCCUUUACAGGGGGAUAGCCCGGAGAAAUCCGGAUUAACACCCCAUAGGAUAAUAGUGAGGCAUCUCACAGUUAUUAAAAAUUUAUUGGUAAAGGAUUGGCGUGCGUCCCAUUAGAUAGUUGGCGGGGUAAUGGCCCACCAAGUCAGCGAUGGGUAGCUGGUGUGAGAGCACGACCAGCCACACGGGCACUGAGACACGGGCCCGACUCCUACGGGAGGCAGCAGUGAGGAAUAUUGGUCAAUGGACGCAAGUCUGAACCAGCCAUGCCGCGUGGAGGAUGACAGCCUUCUGGGUUGUAAACUUCUUUUAUAUGGGAAGAAAAGUACGGUUUCUACUGUAUCCGACGGUACCAUAUGAAUAAGCACCGGCUAACUCCGU